rnacentral:rRNA from 1 species
UACGUAGGUGGCAAGCGUUAUCCGGAAUUAUUGGGCGUAAAGCGUGCGCAGGCGGCUUCUCAAGUCAGGGGUGAAAGCCCAGAGCUCAACUCUGGAAUUGCCUUUGAGACUGAGUGGCUUGAGUACGGGAGAGGUGAGUGGAAUUCCCAGUGUAGAGGUGAAAUUCGUAGAUAUUGGGAAGAACACCGGUGGCGAAGGCGGCUCACUGGCCCGUAACUGACGCUCAUGCACGACAGCGUGGGGAUCAAACAGG